UCACUAACACACUUAAGGACACUUUUUAAAAAUGCACUUUGUAAUAAUAUCUAAUUAAUUUUAAAUUAUAGUAAGUACACUUUCAACAUAAUAUUUAUAAACACACUUAAGUGGACUUUUAAAAAUGCACUUUUUAAUACUGUCUAAUUAAGCUUAACUUAUAGUAAGUACACUUUCAUCACAAUAUUUCUUAACAUACCUAAUUACACUUUUUAAAAAUGCACUUUGUCUAAUUUAGUUUUACUUAAAUGUAACCCUGGUUAAAUAAUUAAAUAUUAUUAUUUUAAAAGUGUGCUUAAAUAUAAUAGAGACUAUUCAUACAUCUACAUUUAUUUUAUAAAUGAGGAAAUACAUGUGAAUAAUUCAAUCUGAAUUAUAAAUCUGAAAUGAGUAAACCAAUCAGAGUGUUUAAUUGUAAGCUCCGCCCUUUUUUUGCUUUCAGAUCGAGUCUCAGUUCAGACUGAGAGAUGCAGAGCGACAGAGACACUCGAUCUGACGCGAGAGUGUUUAUUUUGAUUAAAUAUGACUCCUAAGUUCAUAUAAACUGAAGAAAUCAGAAUUUAACAUGCAUAUAUUCAAUUAUACAGCGUGAUUGUGUGGAUUGAGCACUUUUUGAGCUUUCAUUUUGUACCUGUGUGAUUAUGUAAAACCACAUGGUGCGUUGUGUUCACUGCUGUUCGCUGACGCCAUUUUGGUUGCACGUGCCUGUGAAAGACUAAAAGAGAAGGAAACACGUGAAUGGACAGGUAUUUGUCUAAAUUGUCAUUUAUUAUGAUGAUGGCACUUAUGUAUGUAUUUUAUUUGUUUCCUUUAUUAUGUAGAAUUGUUAAUCAUUAUUGAUACACAAUAUUGAUGAACAUUCCUUGAGCUGGAUUUUCCUAAUUGAUGGCGAGCCUCCCAUUUCGACUUGAUUGGAUCACGAAUCUAGAGGAAAGGACAAUUUUCUAUUUUAAAUAUUUUUCUUCAGACAAGUAAGAGGAUACAUUUCAGAAACUGUUUCCUUAUUUUGUUUGUUUACUUUAUUGAAAUGAAACAUUUCAGAAGCACAAUUCUGAUAAUUUAAGACUGAUCAAUACUCCAAUUGAUAAGAACUUUGAACUUGAAUACUGAUUUCAGUGUGUUACAUAUAUAAUUUGUACCAUCUUUGUACAUUGAUUGUGACUGAUUUCUGUAAAUGAGAAGUAAUUUAGAGGGUGCACCCAUAGUAUAUAUAGUUAAUUGUAUUUUCAUUGUUGUUACUAUUUUUGUGAUUAAGGAAAGAAAAAGAAAGGUUUCUCAAUACUCAAAGUAAAAUAAUUUAUUAAUCAACUUACCUUCUGUCUCUGCUUGUUGCUCACUAUCACUGCUACCUCCUCCUUCGUACCGUGCACCCUUCUGAUCUUAUUAUUAUGCCUGGUCCAUAAGUAAGUGAGUUAAUACCCGCUACAUAAAGAAAGUACACUUUCAUGGCAAUAUUUCUAAACACAUUUAAUAAAUGAUCAUUAGACUGAUGUGACCUACCAAAGACUUGUUAAUUUAAAGUUCAUGCAGUUCUUUUUUAGUUGUCUGUUAAAAUGUAAAAAAAUUAUAACUUUGAGUUUAUUUUUUUCUAAGGGAUGUAAUUAUUCAAUAUUGAUAGUUGUUUGUUUGAUUCCAAUUUAACAAUAUUAAAAUGAGUUUUUUUUUUUUUUUUGGACAUAUACAACUCAUAAUUAAUUUAUUAAAUGUACUUUUGCAAAACAAAAAAUCUGAUUCAUAAUUUGACUACCAAACUGUUUUAUUGUCAGUGUAAGCAUUGUGGUUUUUGUUUGUUUGCAAUGCAUUAAACUGAAAUGAAUACAUAUUUAAUUAACUAGAUUUGUUUUUCAGUAUUUUGAGAAGUACAUAACCAUAUUUCACAUACAAUAGAAGUAGUGAAAGUACAUACUGUAGAAAGAUGCAUUGAAAUCACUUCACUGCACUGAAAUCACAGUUCAACUGAUUUAAUUUUAUAUAUUUGAAUUUAUUUGGCAAACUUUUAUUUGAAACAUUACAUUUAAUGAGUAAUUAAAUGUACUGUUAAUAUACAUUAACUUAUUUUUAAUUUCACAUUAAUUGCUUGACAGUAGAUUGAACAGUGCACUUUAAGUAUAUUCUAAAAACACUAGAAGCAAUUAUGAAAGUAGAUAUAAAGUUGUAAUAAAGUACCAAUUAAGUUGUUCCAAAAAAUCACUCUUAAUGGCAACUUAUUACAUUUUAUUUCAACUUAAUAUAUGAUAUAUGUGAAAUUAAUUACACUUAAUGUGCAUUUAGUGCGCCGAAAAGAUUGCAUUUAAUUCACACUUAAGAGUAUUGUUAACAGACAUUAAAUUGCAUUUUAAAUCACAUUAAUUUCAUGUCUUUCUAUUGUGUAGUGGACUUUAAGUAUAUUUUAAAAACACUAGAAGCAAUUAUGAAAGUAGAUAUAAAGUUGUAAUAAAGUACCAAUUAAGUUGUUCCAAAAAAUCACUCUUAAUGGCAACUUAUUACAUUUUAUUUCAACUUAAUAUAUGAUAUAUGUGAAAUUAAUUACACUUAAUGUGCAUUUAGUGCGCCGAAAAGAUUGCAUUUAAUUCACACUUAAGAGUAUUGUUAACAGACAUUAAAUUGCAUUUUAAAUCACAUUAAUUUCAUGUCUUUCUAUUGUGUAGUGGACUUUAAGUAUAUUUUAAAAACACUAGAAGCAAUUAUGAAAGUAGAUAUAAAGUUGUAAUAAAGUACCAAUUAAGUUGUUCCAAAAAAUCACUCUUAAUGGCAACUUAUUACAUUUUAUUUCAACUUAAUAUAUGAUAUAUGUUAAAUUAAUUACACUUAAUGUGCAUUUAGUGCGCCGAAAAGAUUGCAUUUAAUUCACACUUAAGAGUAUUGUUAACAGACAUUAAAUUGCAUUUUAAAUCACAUUAAUUUCAUGUCUUUAUAUUGUGUAGUGCACUUUAAGUAUAUUUUAAAAACACUAGAAGCAAUUAUGAAAGUAGGUAUAAAGUUGUAAUAAAGUACCAAUUAAGUUGUUCCAAAAAAUCACUCUUAAUGGCAACUUAUUACAUUUUAUUUCAACUUAAUAUAUGAUAUAUGUUAAAUUAAUUACACUUAAUGUGCAUUCAGUGCGCCGAAAAGAUUGCAUUUAAUUCACACUUAAGUGUAUAUACUUAAAGUGUAUUAUUUAUGUAAUAAGUACACUUUAUAAAAGUACACUUAAGCACACUUUUUUUUCACAAGGGUAUUUACACGAGUGUAUGCAAAAAAAGCAACGUUUUCCUAUAACAUACAAAGAAACACAAUAUCUUUAAAUUAAUCAAAUGCUUCCUCGGGCAAAGAACAUCUUUUCCCGAUUUUCCGCGUCUCCUUCAGUGCUAGACGGACGGAUUCUUCAUCUGCAGCAGCUGCAUUCUAAAAGAAACCAUUACAAAAAUAAGGAAAAAUUAAUUUUACAAACUAUGUCAUAUGUUUUCUUUGUUUCCUCAAUAUAACUCUGAUUAGAAUGUCAAACAAAGAUAAAAUCAUCCGUAUUAAUCGUCAAUAUCGUGUAUAUAUGAGCGUCUUUGCGUUAAAUUCGUGGUACACCACACCAUGCACUUAUAUCGACGUCGCAAUGCAAAAGAAGAAGGGCAAGAAAGAAACCUGUCCUGGUCUGGCGAUUUAAGGGAACAUUUGUUUAAGGUAUGUAAUACAUUUUAAUAAUGCUGGGUGUGGGAUCAGUUAACUAGAAAUUUCGUUGAUAAUAAGCAAUGUAUGUACAGUAACUAGCUAGUUCACGUUAGAUAUUUUAUUCACGUGUCUGUGGUUAUUUUAGGUUUUUGAUAGUUAAUUUCACUGAUAGUUUGAGCCCGUGUAAAUUUCUUAAAAAGCUGUAAUUAUUAUUUUAUUUAACAUUAUUAUGUUUGCUGUCAAGACUGAUAUUUAUUUAUAUAUAUUUAUUGAGGUUGAUAUGUAAACUUAACCUACUCAGUUGUACUUGACUAAUGCAAUAUUGACAGGUCCACCUGUUUAAGUAUAUUGUAAAACAUUUGAACAUAACAACAUUUGGACAUAACAUACACACAUUGUUUCCGCCUGCAUCAAUUUAGUUGUAUAGCUGCAUUGCUGGUUAACACCUCUGGGUAGAUUCUCCAUGUUCUUCUUUUAUGUGUAGCUGCUCACCUUAAACAGAUACAGUACAUUGAAGUAAUGUUUAAAACAAAUUAAGCCCUAUAAUAUUGUUUAUGUUUACAAUAAUUGGUAAAAAGUUUGACGGAUAAAAUGGUUCUUACCAUUCUCUAUAUAAGCCCCUCUGUUAACUUUUGUUUGAGCCUGUCUAGAUCUUUUAUCAGUCUAGAAAGAUGUUGGAGAAAAGACAUCAUCCUCUUCUAUAAUCUCCAUCUGUAAUUGGACUAACAACUGGACCAGUGAAUGCAGGCAACUUACUCUCCAUUCGACCUUGCAGGUCACACCAUGGUCUCAAGAGGGAAAAUGAGUGCUCUAUGGAUUGAACAGAAAAGGUGAAUCAAAACUCCAACCAUCUGUAUGAGGGUCUGGAUGGAUAAAGGAUGCCCACUGGAGCUGGAAAUGAUGGUGGAUCCACACUUGAACCAUCUGUAUGAUGAUCUGCACCCACUGGAUCUGUAAAUGGUGGUGCAGGUUUCUGAAUUGAUGUCAGAUGCAAAGCAGAAGCUUAUUUUCUUCCAGUUUGGCUUCUUUGUGGAAAAAUGCUUGAAACUAAAAUGCAGAAUUCUGGCCUGGUGUUUGGUCCCCCCUUUCUCUGGCUUGUGUCUCCAUCAUCAUUACACUCUUGUCAGUGUAAUAGUAUCAUCGUCUGCGUACCAGGACUUUCUCCUUCAAGCUACAUUUUUGUCAAGCUGC